ACAUUUGAUAGACGGUAGUGAUGAUAGUGCUGGUGUUCAUUUGAUGCUCAGGAAAUGUGGAACAUACAGAUGUAUCGUAUGUCAUGCCUGCCUUCAAGAAGCUCACAAUUAGUUGGACCAGAACUAGAGCAGAACAGGAAAGACUUGAGAGGGGAAGAAAGAAGAUGGGACUGCUUGCAAAAACAGCUAUGUCUCACUCAUUUCUGUAUCAACACGUUUUGUAAUGCUACUUGACAGCUUCCCCCAUCAAGAGGUGGAGUCUACCUUGCCAACCCUUGAAUUUGGGCUAGCCUUGGGCCUUGCUUUGCCAAAAGAAUGUGGCAGAAAUGACCUUGUGCCAGUUUUAGACUUAGGUUCAAGAGGCCUUGCACACUUCUACUUUCUGUCUUGAAUCCCUGCCAGCUGCUAUGAAGACAAGAGCAGGCUAGCCUGCUUGAUGAUGAAAGACACAUGAUCACGUCUCCCCUGUUGUCCAAGUCAACAGUUGGCCAACUGCUAAACGAUGAGUGAGGCUGUCCUAGACCAGCCAGACCCAGUGGACCCACCUGCAGACUAUAAACACAAGUGUGAGCCCUCCUGAGGUUCUCCAGGCCUGGCCAUAUCAGAAAUUUCCAGUGGAUCUAAAGACUUGGGGAAAACAGGAAUUUAAUGGAUGAACUUGAGACCAACCAGAGGUCUUUUUUCCUCUGCUGCAAAGACCAAUAACAUCAAAGACAGUGGCUGCUCUACCAAUCUGGAUCCCUGAGUGACAGCAAUUAGUAAAGUUCCUCUGCCAACUGAUGAUGAAUAAGCAAUAAAUAAACCUUUGUUAUUUUAAAACCCUGAGAA